GUAAGUGCUCUACCACUGAGCUAAAUCCCCAGCCCCAACUUUUUUUUUUUUAAGUCAGAAUCAUACCUUUUAGGAAAGAAAAUAACUCCUCCACCCCCACCCCAGUUAUACAGAAUAGAAAUAACUUCUAUUUUUAUAUAUACCAUAGGAUUUCCUAUUUCUUUGCUUGAGUUUCCCAGCCCAAUAGCCCAAUAGCCCAAUAGCCCAAUAGCUCUAUUAACUGCAUUUGUCUGUCUGCUGGGUAGGUGAGUGUGAGAUAUGAGGGUGAGUCAGAAGGCCAGUGGCUAGAGGUUGGGAGAAGGUCUGGAAGACCAAAGUAAUAUAGUCAUUUCCGUGCAACCUGUGACAUAGCCUGGAUUUAUGUACUGGGUUGUGAAAGAAGGCAUAAGGUCAAGGUUCUGAGGGGAGAAAUUGGAGACAGGAAGAAUGACAGAGUUGAGGGGUGGUUUGCAUCAAUCUACAUGUGUUUGGCAGACUCCCACACAGCCCUCCAUUCUUCCUUGGCCACAACCGAUACACUCUAUGCUACAAAAUUUCUAUUCAGCAGGUUGCUUCUUUCACAUUCGGCUUUGAGAAAAAUUGUGGAAAUACAGAAAGCAGAGACUAUUCGAGUAAUUAAGAGUGGGAAUUUUGUCUGUUGAGGAAGUGAAUUAUAUUCCUACUUUAUACUUUUUUUUCUUACAAAGUCCAAAUGACUUAAGUCAUAGAAAAACUGAAAUAUUUUCCAAAACUAGGAAAAGUCAUAUAGGUGCAUAUUUGUGAGAUUUUGAGUAGAGAAAAAAAUGUCCAAAAUUCUCCAGGAAUGGGUCAGGGAAGGGUGUAUUAAAGAAAGUCACACGGAGACGAAUAAAGUUGACUGUGAAGGUGUAUAAAUUGUAUCAAAACCAAGUGUGGUCUCACUCAAAAAUAUGUUUAUGAGAAGUUACUCCUUGUGUACUUUCCCCUGAGUUUUGUUUUUGUUUUCUUAGGAAAGUUCAGUAUUUCUUGUGGAGUUCUGAGAGCUCUUGCUAAUUGUAGUAAUUAAUAACUCAGGCACCCCUGCCACUGAAGUGCAGUGUUUUUGUUUUGCUUUUACUGUUAUUCUUGGCUUUAUAGCUCUGCUUUGCAUUAAAGGGUGGAUGACAUAAACCCUGAGUCAUUUCGAUAGCUCUCCUCCAAGAGCGUAAACUCAAGGGCAUGGUGUAGCACCAUCUAUCUAGUGUAGAACUCCAGAAACUCAGAAGAAAAAGCGCACUGUGGAGAGCAAGUAGACAGAAAGCAUCUGGCUGUGGUGGUAGGGUGACUAGUGUAAAGCGUCACUUCCUACAAAGCAACUUUCCUAGAGCUCAAUCUAAUGAGAUCUUCCCCGUUUCCUUCUCCAAACCACAAGCUAAUUUGUUGUGCUACAUUGCCACAUAUCCAGGUACACAGCACCAGUUAAAUGAAAAAUGCUGCAGGGAGGGUUGGUCGUCUCAGUGGAAAGAAAAGCCCUGUUAAGAUAUACUUUUAAUAACAUAAUGCCAGAAGAUCUGUCAUUUCUGUCUUACACUUUUUCUUUUUUCCAUGUGUGUACGUAUGUGUGUAGUGCAUACGUGUGUGUGUGUGGUGUAUAUGUGGGGUGUGUGUGUGUGUGUGAGUGUGAGUGUAGAUGUUUGAUCACAUGCAUGCACAAUUGUACAUGUAGAAGUCAGCACUCAAUCUUGGGUGCCAUCCCUCUGGUACAGUUCACCUUUUUAAGACAAUGUCUCCUACUGGUCUGGAACUCAAUAGGCUAUCUCAACUAGUCAGCAAGCCCAGGGAUUUACCUGUCUCUAUCUCCCUAGAUCUGUGACUGCAAGCAUGUGCUACGACAGGCUAACAUUUGUAAACAAAAUGUUAGUUCUGGGGAUCAAACUCAUGUUCUCUUCGUUUAUAGCAUAUAGAAAAACAGACUAGGGGUAAUUCACCCAGUAAUUUGCUAAAACUGAUUUUAAAAAUUCAUAGGAGUUGCAUUUCCCCAAUGACUAAGGAUAUUGAACCUUUCUUUAGGUGCUUCUUGGCCAUUCGAGAUUCCUCAGGUGAGAAUUCUCUGUUUAGCUCUGUGCCCCAUUUUUAUUGUGUUAUUUGGUUUUCUGGAAUAUAACUUCUUGAGCUCUUUGUAUACUUUGGAUAUUAGCCCUCUAUCUGAUAUAGGGUUAAUAAAAAUCUUUUCCCAAUCUGUAGGUUGCUGUUCUGUCCUAUUGACAGUGUCCUUUGCCUUACAGAAGCUUUUCAGUUUCAUGAGGUCCCAUUUGUCAAUUGUUGAUCUUAGAGCCUGAGCCACUGAUGUUCUGUUCAGGAAAUUUCCCCUGUGUCAAUGUGUUCACUUUCUCUUCUAUUAGAUUCAGCCUAUCUGGUUCUAUGUGGAGGUCCUUGAUUCACUUAGUCUUGAGCUUUGUACAAGAAGAUAAAAAUGAAUCAAUUUGCAUUCUUCUACAUACAAACCAUCAGUUAGACCAGCACCAUCGAUUGAAGAUACUUUCUUUUCCAUUGUAUAUUUUUGGCUUUGUCAAAGAUCAAGGGUCUAUAAGUGUGUAGCUUUAUUUCUUGUUCUUCACUUUUAUUCCUUUGAUUGACCUGUCUGUCUCUGUACCAAUAUCACUAUUUUAUCACUAUUGCUAUGUAGUACAGCUUGAGGUCAGGGAUAAUGCUUCCCCCAGAAGUUCUUUUAUUGUUGAGAAUUGGUUUUGCUAUCCUGAGAUUUUUCUUAUUUCAUAUGAAGUUGAGAAUUGUUCUAUCUCUGUGAAGAAUUUGAGUUGGAAUUUUGGUGGGGAUGGCAUUGAAUCCACCAGUCACAAAGACACAUGAUUCAUAGUGGUCUUGUUUGUGAUAGCCAGAAGCUAGACUAUCCCAGAUAUCCAUCAGUGGAAGAAUGGAUACAGAAAAUGUGGUACAUGUACAUAGUGGAAUACUACCCAGUAUUAAAAACUAGGACAUCAUGAAAUUUGCAGGCAAAUGGAUGGAACUAGAAAAUAUCAUCCUGAGUGGGGUAACCCAGACCAAAAAGGACACACAUACAAAUACAGGGACAAAAAUUAGAGCAGAACCUGAAGCACCUGACUAAGAGAGAUGCAGAUACUCACAACCAACCAUUGGAAUGAGCCUGGGGACCCCAGUUGAAGAAUUAGUGGAGGACUGAAGGAGCUUAAGGGGAUUUCCACUCCAUAGGAAGAACAACAGUAUCAACUAACUAGCCCCCCUCCUCAGACCUGCCAGGGACUAAGCCACCAACCAAAGCAUACAUGGGCUGGCUCUUGGCUCCUGCUACAUAUGUAGCAGAAGACUGCCUUUUCUGGACACAGUGGGAGGGAAUAUGCUUGCCCCUGUGGAGGUUUGAUGUCCCAGAGAAGGGGGAUGCUAGAGGGGUG
rnacentral:lncRNA from 1 species